CAAGUCGAGCGGCAGCGACAACAUUGAACCUUCGGGGGAUUUGUUGGGCGGCGAGCGGCGGACGGGUGAGUAAUGCCUAGGAAAUUGCCCUGAUGUGGGGGAUAACCAUUGGAAACGAUGGCUAAUACCGCAUGAUGCCUACGGGCCAAAGAGGGGGACCUUCGGGCCUCUCGCGUCAGGAUAUGCCUAGGUGGGAUUAGCUAGUUGGUGAGGUAAGGGCUCACCAAGGCGACGAUCCCUAGCUGGUCUGAGAGGAUGAUCAGCCACACUGGAACUGAGACACGGUCCAGACUCCUACGGGAGGCAGCAGUGGGGAAUAUUGCACAAUGGGCGCAAGCCUGAUGCAGCCAUGCCGCGUGUAUGAAGAAGGCCUUCGGGUUGUAAAGUACUUUCAGUAGGGAGGAAGGUUCAUGCGUUAAUAGCGUAUGGAUUUGACGUUACCUACAGAAGAAGCACCGGCUAACUCCGUGCCAGCAGC
rnacentral:rRNA from 1 species